rnacentral:rRNA from 1 species
UACGUAGGGUGCGAGCGUUAAUCGGAAUUACUGGGCGUAAAGCGUGCGCAGGCGGUUCGUUGUGUCUGAUGUGAAAGCCCCGGGCUCAACCCUGGGAAUGGCAUUGGAAACUGGCGAGCUAGAGUGUGGCAGAGGGGGGUGGAAUUCCGCGUGUAGCAGUGAAAUGCGUAGAGAUGCGGAGGAACACCGAUGGCGAAGGCAGCCCCCUGGGCUGACACUGACGCUCAGGCACGAAAGCGUGGGGAGCAAACAGG